GGAUCCCGGAGAGCCCCGGAGUGAGAGGAGUAGCGAGUCGGCAACCCGGAGGGGUAGAAAUAUUUCUGUCAUGGCUCAUUCAAAGACUAGGACCAAUGAUGGAAAAAUUACAUAUCCGCCUGGGGUCAAGGAAAUAUCAGAUAAAAUAUCUAAAGAGGAGAUGGUGAGACGAUUAAAGAUGGUUGUGAAAACUUUUAUGGAUAUGGACCAGGACUCUGAAGAAGAAAAGGAGCUUUAUUUAAACCUAGCUUUACAUCUUGCUUCAGAUUUUUUUCUCAAGCAUCCUGAUAAAGAUGUUCGCUUACUGGUAGCCUGCUGCCUUGCUGAUAUUUUCAGGAUUUAUGCUCCUGAAGCUCCUUACACAUCCCCUGAUAAACUAAAGGAUAUAUUUAUGUUUAUAACAAGACAGUUGAAGGGGCUAGAGGAUACAAAGAGCCCACAAUUCAAUAGGUAUUUUUAUUUACUUGAGAACAUUGCUUGGGUCAAGUCAUAUAACAUAUGCUUUGAGUUAGAAGAUAGCAAUGAAAUUUUCACCCAGCUAUACAGAACCUUAUUUUCAGUUAUAAACAAUGGCCACAAUCAGAAAGUCCAUAUGCACAUGGUAGACCUUAUGAGCUCUAUUAUUUGUGAAGGUGAUACAGUGUCUCAGGAGCUUUUGGAUACAGUUUUAGUAAAUCUGGUACCUGCUCAUAAGAAUUUAAACAAGCAAGCAUAUGAUUUGGCAAAGGCUUUACUGAAGAGGACAGCUCAAGCUAUUGAGCCAUAUAUUACCAAUUUUUUUAAUCAGGUUCUGAUGCUUGGGAAAACAUCUAUCAGCGAUUUGUCAGAGCAUGUCUUUGACUUAAUUUUGGAGCUCUACAAUAUCGAUAGUCAUUUGCUGCUCUCUGUUUUACCCCAGCUUGAAUUUAAAUUAAAGAGCAAUGAUAAUGAGGAGCGCCUACAAGUUGUUAAACUACUGGCAAAAAUGUUUGGGGCAAAGGAUUCAGAAUUGGCUUCUCAAAACAAGCCACUUUGGCAGUGCUACUUGGGCAGGUUUAAUGAUAUCCAUGUACCAAUCCGCCUGGAAUGUGUGAAAUUUGCUAGCCAUUGUCUCAUGAACCAUCCUGAUUUAGCAAAGGACUUAACAGAGUAUCUUAAAGUGAGGUCACAUGACCCUGAGGAAGCUAUUAGACAUGAUGUUAUUGUGUCAAUAGUUACAGCUGCUAAAAAGGAUAUUCUUCUGGUCAAUGAUCACUUACUUAAUUUUGUGAGAGAGAGAACAUUAGACAAACGAUGGAGAGUACGCAAAGAAGCCAUGAUGGGACUUGCCCAAAUUUAUAAGAAAUAUGCUUUACAAUCAGCAGCUGGAAAAGAUGCUGCAAAACAGAUAGCAUGGAUCAAAGACAAAUUGCUACAUAUAUAUUAUCAAAAUAGUAUUGAUGAUCGACUACUUGUUGAACGGAUCUUUGCUCAAUACAUGGUUCCUCACAAUUUAGAAACUACAGAACGGAUGAAAUGCUUAUAUUACUUGUAUGCCACACUGGAUUUAAAUGCUGUGAAGUAUGUUUCAAAUAUCAAAUUCUGUUCUUUUCAUCCUUUGCAAUAUAUUGGAUUUUAUGGAAAAGAAACUACAAACACCUGUAUUUUAAAAUGUAAUCUAUGUAGUGUAAACGUUGUUUAAAGGGUUAUGUCGUAGUACUUGGCUAUUUUUUCAGAAAGUACCACUUUAAACAUGAGACUAAGCCAUUACAAGCAAUUGAAAAAUAGAGCUGAUUGGCAUGAAAUCUUUUAGGAUUUGAGUUUUCUAUUCAUAUUGUUGGUGUCUCAAGAAACGUUGAUGUACCUAUUCUUUUUUAUUUGUUUUCCUUAAGGCAUUAGAAACAUUCAUAUUAUGAAAAUACUACCUUUUUAUUCUCACUUGGUGUACUGAUGUGCAUUACGGUGGAGAGCAGUAGGCUGCAAAUUUUGUGCUGCAUAGCCUGAGCAGCACCGUGUUAUAGUUUGACAUAAGAGUAAGCACAAAUAUAUUUUUAUUACUGCAUGUCAUUCAGAAAGUACUUUUGGGUGUUUAGGUAAGGUGGCAUUGGUGUGUUAGACAUGGAAAAGACAUUGCUAGUCUAAUUGAAUCAUACUAAGGGUUAGGAAAUUGAAGUCUUAGAGAUUUGCUUUACGUUUUAGGAAAUGUAGACCCUGAGUAUUCCAGCAAAUGUAGUUUACAAAUAUUAAGGGUUAAAUGUUGAGAAAUUUGAGAGAUCUAAGGGGCUGUAUGUAAUUUUCAUUUGUACCACUGUUUAAUGAGACUUUUAACUUCAUUUCUUCCAUGGAAAUAAUUAUAUUUUCUGUUUAUGUUUUAUACAGAAAUAGUGAGGACAAGGUUGUAGAGGGGAGAAAUACACAUUUUUUUUCCCUACCUGCUGUAUUUCAGGCACUGGAAUUUGUAUUAUGUAUAACUGCUUUUGUGCUACAGUGGAAAAGUAGGUUGCAAAGAGAUCUGAUUGCCCACAAAGCUUAAAAUAUUUACUGUCCGGCCUUUUACAGAAAAAGCUUGGCAACCCUGGUUUAAGUGAUAUUUUUCCUGUUUUACAUAUGAUGAAGUAAAUCACACAAAUGUUAAGUUCCACAGAAUCACACAAGGAAUAAGAGGGAGCCAGGAUUCGCACUCAGUCCUGCUUGGUUCCAAAGCUUGUUCUUUUUCCACUACACGUAGUAAAAUACAUUACUCUCAUAUUUACUUUUAUUACUUGUAAACUCUUCUCUGGAAUUGAAAUACAUCCAAAAAUUGUUGGUUUGUCAUAGCCUAAUUGGUGGCUCUUUUUCUCAUGGCAAAAUUAAUUGAUGGCCUCUUAAAUUGGAUGAAAUAUGGUAUUUAUAUCAUAUUUGAAACUACCUACUGGAAAUCAUAGUAAAUCUAGACUUCUCUACUCAGCCCAACUAUCAUUCAAGAGUAAAAAUGAAAUGUCACUUUUAAGCAAAAAUGAAGAAUUUGCCAGUCCUACUUGAAAAAAUUACUAAAGAAUAAGCUUAUUUUGGUAAGAAAGGAAAUCAAAUCUACAAAGAAGUAAUAAGAUUCAAGAAUUUGAAACACUUCUAUAAAUAUAAAUAAUAAAGGACUGUAAAAACAGUAAUAAUACAGUUUUAUUUGCAAGGGGUGGGAGUGUGGAUUAAAAAGUAGGUAGCAUGUAGGCCAAUAUUUAGCCAGUACCAUACACCACUGCAGUACUAUGUGAGAUUUCCUGAGUGUCCCUGGAAUCCUCCUUCCUAUGGUCCUACCAUGCCCGGGCAGGGCUGGAAUGUCUCCAGUACCUUCUUGCACUGCCCAUGAUUCUGACUGGUUGAUGCCUGAUGCCUUUGUGAAAAAUUUUGACUGCAGGUGGGUCCUAUCAGAUAACAGCAUGUAAGGUAAUAGGUAAGUAAUGAGUAUGAAGGUGUUCCAAGGUUCUUUUGUCAUGUUAGUGAGGGCAGACAUGUUGACUGACUAUGUUAUAAGUGGGCAUUUAACAGUCACCUCUGAAAGCAGUUAAAAUGUAUAGCUUCCAAACACAGAGGAACAAAAAAUAAUUAAUGAAAACUUUUAUACCAGAAACAAAAUAGAAAACAAGAAAAAUAACAAUAAAUACACAAAGUAUAGUUGUUAUAAAACUAAACAUGUCAGAUAUCACUCAUCACUUAAAUGAUAAGUAUAUUUGAUUGAAUUCAAAAGUGAAACAGUGUCAUUCACAAGAGAUAUAUUGAAAAAUAAUGCCAUUGAAAAGUUAAAAGUAAAUUCCAAUCUGGACCAGUACUCAAAAGGAAAGGCUUUGAUUCUACAAAAAUGGUUGGUGAAUGAAUGGAUAUUUAUUUGUUUUAAGAUAAAAUAUUUAGGGUACAUAUAUAUCAUUUUUUAGAUGAUUUUCACUUUAACCAGCUUUUUGUAAUUAGCUGACCAACUAUUAUACUUACCAGUAUUUUAGUACUUUAUAUUUAUCUGUGGUUGUUUUCUCCAAAAUCCAUUACCUUUUUAAUUAUGUAAUAAUAAAUCACGUAUAUAUGUUAUGAAGCAUAGUAAUAAAGUAAAAAUACCUAUGAAUCUAUUACCCAACUUGUAAACUUUUCUCCCAUUCAUCUUCCUCCCAGAGGUAACCUCUACCCUUGUUUCUUGUUUCCUUUAAAAAUUUUUUUUAACAUAUACAUGUAUAUGUAUGUGUAUGUAUGUGUAUCCCUCAGUAAUAUAUUUUUGCUUUUGAACUUUAUGAAAGAAACAAUUGUGUAUACA
rnacentral:sRNA from 1 species